GGAAAAGCAUGGACUGAUGAUCCCCUCUACUUUUCUUUUCUUCUCUGUUGUUUUGCAUGUCCUCCAGCACCUUCUGCAUUUGAUUUUGUUUUACUUCAAAGGACAUCAACAUAUCAUCUGCAAAUUAAGAACUUAGAACAACCUCCAAGAUCCAAAUCAAUCAGCACAUUCAGAGACUUUGACCAAUAAAUAUAUCAAUACUUCACUUGGAGGCUGUGGUGGGACCACAUUGAAACCAUGAAGAUCGUUUUGGACUGCAAUUAAAUUUCAAUAAAAAAAUAAAAUGAC